GCGACGGGAGAGGCCACAACAGUGAGAGGCCCACGUACAGCAAAAAAAACCAAAAACCAAAAAACAAACAAACAAAAAAGUAGUUGUCAGUAUAGCACUUCUGAGUUCUGUGAGUCAUUCUAGUGAACUAUUGGACCUGAGGGGGGUUUGAAGACCUCUGGACUUGUAGCUAGUUAGGCAGAAAUGCAGGUGGCCUGGGGACCCCACUUGUGACUGGCAUCUCAAGUGGGGGCAGGCUUGUUGGGACUGUGCCCUUAAACCUGUGAAGUCUAACACUAGCUCUGGGUUGUUAGUGUCUGAAUUGAAUUGCAGUACAUGAGUUGGUAGCAGAAUACCUUUCCACUGAGUGCACUCCCCACUGUCUCCAUCUAUCUAGAACAUUUUUUCCCUUUCAUAACUCCUUAGUAGUCUCCCUGUCCCCAUUUCCCACUCUUUGUCUUUAGCUCUGAGAACCUCAGCACUCAACAUUUUGGACAAGGGAAGGGGGUUGCAUUGUCCCUGUUAGAGGAAGGUUUGCAGUGUCGUCCUCUUGAAGGCAUUUGAACAUCAGUUUUAAGGCUAGGGGUCAGCGCUUGGUUCAGGAUUAGAGGUCAGAGCAAGGUGGAGGGGACCUCCCUCUUUCCCAGGUUUCUCCUUACUCCCACCUCUUCUCUGUGGUCCUAAGACUACUGGAGUGGGAAAGAUGGGACCCCAGAUUCCCUGAGGACAAUCACAGGUAGCAGGGUAAGGCUGGAGAAGAUCUCCUCCCAGGUCUCCCUAGGCCUAUCACAAUGACUACACAUCCAUCAUCUGAGACCUACUCCUCUCUUCGACAAGCAGGGCUAAAGGGAAAGUUCUUUGGAAGCAGGUCCAGCUCCCAUAUCUCACAUCUCAGGACUCUAGGGCUUCACCCUCCUGGCCCAGCCAGUACUGUCCCUCUCCCCCAUUAUUUUCCUGUGCCCCAAACUGAGUCAGAGAAUUAUCGAUAGCAUGAGGGGAACCUGGCUUAAAACACCCCCUUCUGCCAUGCCUUCCCUAUCCUGGGAAUUGAGAGGGGAUUUCUGAGGAGAGGGGCUGGUUAACUCACAGGGACACAAGGAAACUAGAGACGAGGGAGGGGAGCAAGUGUUUCCCCCACCUGAUGAGAGGGACCCAAGAGACAGAGACCAGAGGAGGAGACCUCUCAGGAGACACCAAUUGUGGAGCGCUAUUCUGUUUCCCAUUCCCAGCCCUAGAGCAUAUGAUAUGACAAACUUAACUGUGAGCCCUUUUUUGUCUGCCUUUUCUUUCCAUCAUCCAUCCAUUUAUCAAUUGAUCGAUCCGUCCAUCCAUGUGUCCAUAUGUCUCCCCAUCUUUGUCUCUUCAUCGGUCCAUUCUCCCAUCUUUCCUUUCAUCUAUCUUUUCACAUCUUCUUCUUCAUUUAUUCAUCUAUAUGUUUAACCAUUAGCUGUCUAUUUAAUGCAUCCAUUCAUCUAUUUAUCAGUUAUGGUAAUAAUGAACAUUUGUUGAUACUUAAGUGCCAUGCACCAUGCUAACUGCUCUAAAAUCAUUUUCUCAUGACAAAUCUAUGAAGUAGAAUGCUGUGAGUGAUGCUUUUGUUCAUGCAGACACUUUUUUAUACUCCUUUUCCUGGUUCCUUUAGGGAAUUUCUCUCUCACUUCACGUGGUCUUGGUGGCUGCGUUCACCAUAGUGAUCUGAUCAGAGUACUCCAUUCCCUGGCCACUGUAAUAUAUUGAAGAACUGAGUAUGUGUCACAAGCACAGUUCAAAGCUUUUCAUGAGCUUUGAUGUUAGAAGAAAGAGGCCCUCUGUUUUGGAUCACUCACUAUACAAAUGUGGACUUGAGGCUUCCAGUGGCCAUAUUUUCUGCUGCUAGAAGAUCACCUGUCUAUAACAGGAAUGAGGUCUCCACAUAAAAAGAAUUAGAGAGAAGUCAAGUUAAAAGAUGGAGGUAACAUCAUUUGAAUCCCUGGGUCCAACCAGUGCUGAAGUAGACCAAAUCUUAAUCUAGUUAUGUGAUAUGACAAAUUUAACUUUUUGCUUAAGCUACUUUAAGUUGGGUUUUUGUCAUUUGCAAUAGAAAGAGCCCUAGAUAAUGAUCAUUGUAUUAUUAUCCCCAUUUUACAGAUGAGGAAACUAAGAUCCAGAAAGAUUAAUUUACCCAAUGUUUCAUCGCUUAUAAAUGGCAGAACAUUGGUACAUAUUUGGAGCAAAACUCUGAUAUACUACCCAUAUAUGUCUGUCCAUCUGUUGGUUCAAUCCAUCCAUCUAUCCAUCCAUCCCAGUUAUUUAUUUAUCUGACCAUCCUUCAAUGUCUAAGACACCAAAGGCAAGAAGACUUGCCAACUCCAAGUUGAGGCUGGGUUUGGAUCAGAGGUUAGCAAAAUUUUUGUUAAAGGUUCAGCUAAUAAAUAAGGUUUUGUAGGCCAUACUGUCUCUGUAGUCACUUCUUAGCUUUGCUGUUGUAGCCCCAAAGCAGCCAUAGACAAUAUGUAAAUGAACAGGCAUGGCUAUAUUCCAAUAAAGUUUUAUUUACAAAAACAGGCAGCAGGCUGGCUGGGCCAUAGUUUGCCAAUCACUGAUCUGGAUCAGUGGGGAAGACACAUACGUUCUGUCAUUGUUGGGAACAUGAGUAGGGAAUGGAAACUUAUAUUCCUUGCACUUGCCAUUACUAAUGUAGUGGAAACAACAGGGUUUUUAUACUCAAACUCUUGUAUUUGAAUCCGGUUUUAGAACCCUGGACAGUCGAGGGAACGGGAUCUGUAAAAUGGGAAUAAUAUGUAUCUUGUGAGGUAGUCCAUGUGCCUGACUCACAGUGGGUACAUUCAGUGGUAGUUAGGUCCAUCCCCUUUUCUCAUUCAUCACCUCCCAUAUAUUACCAGCAUCAGGAGGGCUGUCUCUUUUUAGGGUGUCCUGGGAUGCAGUGAGGAUAGUUCAACCUGGCUUUCUGAGUUCAGGAGCCCAACUUCUAAGAAUGCGCUUUCAUACGAGUUAUAUAGAUUAAGCUCUUGCAAACUCCAAAUUUCUCUUUUUAGUAGCUCUACCCCAACUCUUCUCCGUACUGUUCCACAACUGUAACCACUCCAGUGCCCAGCAAAACAAAAGGCUCUCUAGUCAACAGACCCCAUUAGACUGAGAGGCAGUUUAGGUACCUUCUUUUAUUAAGUCCACCAUUCAUGAUAUUACCCUGUUCCCCAGGUGGCUUUUUAGCAUAUUUCUUCCAAACAAAUACUCUUCUCUAGGAGGAAAGAUUGUGUCCAUGUGUGUCUUUGUGUCUGUGUGCCCAUGACGGUUUGUGUGUAAUUGUGUAUGUGUGUCUAUAUGUCCCCUUGUGUCCGUACUGUGAUUAUAUGCUUAAAUGUCUGUGGUGUGUCCUUGGUAGAUGUGAGUGAUUGGCACUGUGUUUGAUUAUAUGCCUGUGUAUGUGUGUGUGGGUAUGGACGUAUGUAUGUGGGUAAGGGUGUCCCCACUUUUGUGUUUGUGUGUAUAUGUGUGUUCUGUUUAAUCCAUCCCAUUGUGGCUCUCAACCUCACAAGGCCUGCAGGGGGCAUCCAGUGCAUAGGGAAAGGGGAUGCGAGGCUCCUGGCCUGUGCUCCAACCUCAUGGGGCCUGCAGAGGGCAUCUAGAGUCUAGAAAAAAAUGGGUUGUGUGGCCUGUGGAAGUGGAGCUCUGGUCUGAGGAGCCUGGGCUCUCUUAUUCCAGAAAGGAGCUGGAAAUGGGCAAGAAGCCUGAUGACUCAGCUUCUGAAAGUCCCUGAUCCUAGGAGGGGGUCUGCUUCACCCCGCAAAUCCUUCUCCAAACCCUCUGUCCAUAUCCAGAGGGUCCCGGCCCAGCCUGCAGGGCAGAGCUUGUCCCUUUAGUCCAAGUGUGGGUAGGAUAUUGCACAGCACUUCCGGAGGUGACUGGACAUCAGGAUUGGGGGAAGUCUUGAGCAACGGUACACCCUCCUUCUCUGCCUCCUGCCCUCAGCAGCUUGAAGGACUGCCUCAGCCACUGCCAGGAUUUCCUGAACAUCCCCUCUCCUUCAUUUUCUGCAGUUUGGGCCACUCUGGGCCCCAGGGUUUCUGGGCCUGGACUGAGCUUUCUCAGGAGACGUGCAGGAAACAAGGGCCUCUGAAACCAAGCAGAAGGUGACCUGUGUCGCUGGUGAUGAGCCUGGGGGGUAGGGGGGCCAGAGGGAAGGCAAGGGAAGCUACAUGUAACAGGGAGCUCUGCAGAGCCUUGAGGAUGGGUGAGGCAGGAGGUAGGACAUUCCAGGUGGAAUGAACAGCAAGCACAGAGGUUCAGGAGGGACAGGGCUUUGUGAUUAAUCCUGAUGUGUGUGAGGCAGCAGAAGGCAAGUGGUGUGAGAAGCUAUGUAUGUGGGGGUAAUCCCUGGGGUACUUGGGAUACCUCCUGGUGAUGCCAUGCCCAGUGGUCAAAGUUCAUGGAAGACCCCUGUAACCUUAAUCAGGCAGGACCACCAGGGACCAGUAUUCCCUGGGCAUGAAGGUUUGGGUCCCUUAGCAGGCAUAGAAUGUCAACCAGCUGAAGUGCCAGUUGGAGGUAAAGGGAAUGAAUCAUAGAGGAAGUGUGGCAAACAGAAUUUAAGAUUCCUCCCUCAUGGUGUGCAUGUCCUGUAUAAUCUCCUCGCUUUGAGGGGAUCCCCUUGGCCUCUUGGCCUGCGAAUAUGAUGGGAUAUCAGUGAUGUGGCAAAAAUGAAGGGGCUUUGCAGAUGUAAUUAAGGACUCAAAAUCAGUUGACUUUGAGUUAGUCAAAAGGGAGAUUACCCUGGGUGGGCCUGACCUAAUCAGGUGAGCCCUUUAAAAAAGUGUCUAGGGCUAAGAAAUAAACAGCAGCAGCAGAUGCUCUCAUGUUGCCCUUGGAGAAGCAAACUGCCAUGUUGUGAAGAGGGCCAUGGAGCAGGGAGUUGCAGGCAGCUCUAGGAACUCAGGGCUUCAGUCCUAAAACCACAACUGUCAACACCCAGUGAAUUUGGAAGAGGACUCAGAGCCUGAGAUGAGAUGGCAGCCUGGCUGACACCUGAGAUUAGCCUGGUGAGGCCCUGAGCAGAGGACCCAGUUAACCUGUACCCAGAUUGUUGACCCACGGAAACUGUGAGAUAAUAAAUUUGGAUUGUUCGAAGCUGCUGAAUUUGUGGUGAUUUGUUACACAGCAAUAGAAAACUAAUAUAAGAAAGAAGUAAUAAAUUCUAGUUAAGCCCCAGGACUAGUUUCAGAACUACUGACUACAGCUUUUAUUCAUAUUUCCUUCCUGGCUCUGAAAUGUCCGCAUUUCUUUAACUGACUCCUCUUUUCUUUCAUCCUCCUUUAUUCCAUUCUUGAAUAUAGGUUGUUGUGGUACUAUUACUACUACUCACAGGAUUCUGGUUUGCUUCUCCUCCUGGCAGUUGCUCCCUUGAAGUUAGGCAUGGAGGUAUGACCCACUUUGGCCAAUGAAAUGCAUGUGCCAUUUGUGGAUAGAAGCAUUUAAGGAAGGGUUCCCCUUGCUGUCUUGCCUGGCUGGAGUCAGCACGGAAACAUGUGUUGAGAUGAAAGAACGUGCCAAGAGAUCAAAGCAGCCUGGAAUGUUGAGCCACCACAUGGAGUACAGCUGUGCUAGAGAUUGCCUAGACUCACAGCAGGCUUGCUCUUCCUAGGAAGCCAAGCCUUUCUACCUCAUCUGGACAUCCCAGCCCCCAGCCCUCAGCCUAAGUGCUACCCGUCAGGCAGACGGGCUGCAGUCUCAGCUUUGCCACUCACCAGCUGAGUGGACUUGGGAGAUCACUCUACCUCUCUGUGCCUCCAUUUCCUCAUACAUAGAAUGGGACUAGUGAUCCCCACCUCGCAGGGUUGUUUGAGGAUGCAAUGAUAAUGCACAUAAAGGACUCAGCUUGGAGCCUGGCACAUGGUCAGCACCUCAAAGGAACGGUUUUCCCUGUUCUCUGAGGGCCACUUCCUCAGACCUGCACCUGCUGUACUAUUUCCCAUUUUUAUUUAGGAGGUGGAUCAACUCAGAGAGGUGGUAUGUUUGGUAGCUAAGAGUCAGAUUCUGGAGCCCGUCUGCCCAGCCAGGACCCCCAGCUCUGCCACUUUACCGGCCAUCCAGCCUGGUACACGGGCCUCUCACUGUUGUGGCUUCUCCCGUUGCGGAGCACAGGCUCUGGAUGCGCAGGCUCAGCGGCCAUGGCUCGCGGGACUAGCCGCUCCGCGGCAUGUGGGAUCUUUCCGGACCGGGGCACGAACCCGUGUCCCCUGCAUCGGCAGGCGGACUCUCAACCACUGCGCCACCAGGGAAGCCCCAAGCUGACAGUUUUGAAUGAGGCCCAGAGCAAGGAAGGGGUCUGCAGCAGGUCUAGGCUCUGGGGAAAAGUUGCCUGUCUACUUGGGCCUUAUGACUCACAAAUCCAGGGAAUUUCAGAUUGUCUGUGGCAGAGAAGGGUGCGACAGGAACCCCAGAAGGAGCAUUACAGGAAAGACACUUAGGGUGUUGGAGUAAGGACAUACCUCUUCUGCUAACGAUUAUUUACUCUUUGAAAAUCAGUCCUGAUUUGCCACUGGGCCCUGGUUUAAAACUCAGACUAUAGAUCACCCAGUGACCACACAACCUAGGGUGUUAUCUAUAGCAAGUCAUAUAGUUGGAUGUGCAUGGCCAGUGUUCCACUUCAAAGGAACAUUGUACAUUUGAGACCAGGCCUUAGAAAUUUCAGAAGGCAUGAGUAAAAGUGUGGGGAGGUGACUCAGAUUCCUACUUUUAUUGUUUUCUGCUUCUUCUUCUGAUUAUACUUACGCCUUCAUGGAGAAGUUUUCUAUAAACAGUUAACAGAGAGAGGAAGUGUAUGGUCUUGAUUUUCAGAUGGGUCUCUAAGGUAUGCUGGCAUCAGUCAAAAGUAGACAGUUGCUUACAUUCAGGUGUGGCCCUGAAAGACAGUGGUGAAGGGAAGUCCUCUCAGUGGGCAGAAUUUCAGGCAGUACAUUUAAUGUCCACUUUGUCAGAAGGAGAGAUGGCCUGAAGUUUGGAGCUAUACAAAAUCAUGUGCAGUGGCUUCCCACAACAACCUUGCCCUCACCUCUGUAAAUUGACCCUUCACUAAAUUCUUUUCUAUUAAGACUUUUGGGUCAUGCCAUUUGUUUCCCUCCAAGGUCUUAUAUGAUACAAGAGUAUAGUGCAGAGCUGGCAUAAAGGUUUCACAUAAAUUUCAAUACUGUCUUCCUGGAAUGCCUGUUGGGAAAGAUCCUGAGAAUCAGCAGCAAAGGGUGAAAUAAUGAACUAAUAAUAAACAAGGGAUUUACACCACAUUCAUUCAAUAAAUAUUUAUUGAGGGCGUCCUAUGUUCCAGACACUGUUCUUGGCACUGGGACACAACAACAUGGGCCAGAUAGUGUAGGGCUUUGUAGGCCAUUGCAGAGUUUAUGUUCUACUCUGAAUGAGUUGGGGAACCUUUGGAGGGUUUUGAACAGUGACAUGAUCUGGCAUGUGUUAAAGGCUCCCUGUGGCUGUCAGAUGGAAGAUAGACAAAAGUGGUGCAAAAAUGGAAGCCUGGAGACCAGCUUGGAGGCAAUUGCAAUAAUCCAGGGAGGACAUGAGGUUGCUGAGAGUUGGUGAGAAGUGGUCAGAUUCUGGAGACAUUUUCAAUGUAGAGCCAGUGGGCUCUGCUGAGGGGUUCAGCAUAGGAUAUUAGAGAAAGAAGAGAAAGAGAGACAGAGAAAAUACUUCAAUGUUUUUGGCUUGAGCAAUGUGAUUGUUGGAGUUAUAUUUACCAAGAUGUGGACGACUGUAGAGGAGUGGGUUUGUGAGAAGGUCAGGAGCCUUGUUUUUUUUUUAAAUUUUUAUUGAAAUAUAGUUGAUUUAGAAUGCUGUGUUAGUCUCAGGUAUACAGCAAAGUGAUUCAGUUGCAUAUAUACAGGGGACUGCUGGUCCGCUGGUCUUUUUUAGAUUCUGUUCCGUUACAGGUUAUUACAAGAUAUUGAGUAUAGUUCCCUGUGCUAUACAGGUUCUUGUUAGUUAUCUAUUUUAUAUAUAGUAGCAUGUAUAUUUUAAUCCCAAACUCAUAAUUUAUCUCGCCCUCCAGGAGCCUUGUUUUGACUUUUUAAGAUGAAGCUGCAUUUUGGACAUAUAAGUGGAGAUGUUAAGUACGUAGUUGGUAGUAUGAGUCUAGAGUUCAGGGGAGAGAUUCUAGCUGAAGAUAAAAAUUUGGGAGCAUAUGGAUGGUAUUUAAAACCAUAAGACAAUGAGGUCAUCAAGGGAGUGAGUGUAGAUAGAAGGGGUCAAGUUCCAAGGCCUGGAGCUCCCUAACACUGACAGAUCAGGGAGAAGAAGAGGAAUCGGGGAAGGUGACAGCUGUCAGGUGUUCUGAUGGUACCUUCUAUCAUGGCAAAAAGGGGGAGGGCAUAGGCCCUAUGGGUGGAAGGUUUAAGGCACCAACUCCCCAGCCAUUGGUUUAAAUGAUCCAGUGGUGGGGUGGUGGAGACCAGGGAGGUGGGUUUGAAACAGUUUCUGACCACACCCAUAGAGCCCUCAGUGUGCUACCUGCUUUGCCUAGUUCACCCUCUUCUCAGCCACGUGGCCUUCUUGGGGUUCCUGGUUCAGUGUGAGUUUUGGACAAAUCUCCCAGCUCAGGGCAGUUCAGCUCAUCUUGGCACCACACUCUCCCAAGAAGCCCGCUCAGCCUUCAUGCUCCCUGGUCUGAUCAAAUCCAUGCCGCAGGGGUGGGAGAUCUUGGGUGGAGGGCACUUUAGCCAUCGAGGCAGGUAAGGCAGCAGCGAGGCCGGGAAAGUCAACCAAGGCCAUGGUAGGAGUGGGAGUACCAGGGAGUAAACGGUUGUGGAGAGCAUCUCGAUUAGAUGCUUAAUAAAUGUUUGUUGAAUGGAUGAAUGUGAGUAUCAGGAGCUGUGUCCCUGGGGCUGAGCGUGACUGGUGUGCCCGUCGUCCGCGUGUGUGUGUGUGUGUGUGAGAGUGAGAGAGAGCGAGAGCUGUGGCUCUGUGUCCACGUCUGUGCCUGAUGUGUCUCCUCUCCCAGGCCUGCAGAGGGCGCACCAGCCUGGGAAGGGAGGCUCUGGAGUGGGCGCCGCUCUGGCUGAGGGGUGGGUGGGCGCUGGCGGGUGGCGGGUGCUCUAGCAAGGGCGGGAUGCGGCCCUGACCCGGCGGGCUGCUCAGAGAGACUGAGAAGGGCGUUGGGCCCAAAGUCCGUGGGCCUGGCACGGCCUCUGGUGCUGUCCCCGCUCCAGGCCCCAGCUGGUCCCGAUGCCGAGGGUCCGGCCCCGGGUCCCAGCGCGCGGGUCCCGGCACACGGGCGGAACGUGCAGAAGGGAGACUCGGGUUGCGGGUGGGACCCGCAGCUCCAGGACCUGGGGUCGGCGUGGGCUCGGGAAGCCCCCGAGCGGCGAUUACCCCGGGUCGAGCACAGCGGCUGUCCCGCCAAAUCUCUGCCACUCGGGCCCCUGAAUCCGCGGGUACUCGGCUGGGCAGGCUGGGACGCAUGGGCGGCCGGAGGCCGGUGUUUUUCCGUUGAAACCAUAGGCUUUCAAGGUUUACUGAACGCCUAACUGUGUGCCCGGCGCGACGCUCGCUCGGUGCCGGAGGAUGAAGUGCUUUCACCUGGACAGGGACGGAAAACGAGUUUGUCCUGCUCAUCAGUGGACAUGGGAAAAUUCUAGACCCCUGGUCUAGCAUGAGACACAUUUGAGGACAAAUAAUAAAGGGGGAAAAAAAAAUCCCAGAAAGAUGAAGGAAAUGAGAACAGUAGUGUUCAACCCACAAGCCUGUUUGCCUUUGGAGGACGGAGGACCGCGACGACGAUGCUGCCUCCUAGUGGCGGAGUCGGGCAAUGAGGCCAAGUGGAGUUUAACAUCCCGUCCGCUGUGGGUAUUCUGAACCGAAAUUGGCGCCGGCUGCUCAGGCCAGCCUGGAUGUAGACGGUAAGGAAGGGGACGCAGAGACUUGGAUGGCUACACAUCUGACCUGCCAGCCUGGAUGUAGACGGUAAGGAAGGGGACGCAGAGACUCGGAUGGCUACACAUCUGACCUACAGUUCUGGGUGUACCCUGAUGCUUUUGCAAAAAUGUUCCUAUAGAAGGGUUUCAUCUUCAAGAAAUUCAUGAAAAAGACUCUGACAAGUACAGGUUUCUGGUAACUGACUAUACUGCUGAACUGACUGAAGAAGCAUUUUCAGAACUCUAAUGGAAAACUGAUGAAUUCAUAAAAGUGCUAACAAAAGAUCAAGAUGAAAAAAAAAUUAAUUACAUGGGACUGAGUGAACUGAUGAGGAUGAUUAUAAGUUUUGUGACUUUCUGUUUGAAUAAAAAAAAAUCCCACAAGGUCCCAGAGGCAAAAAAUAUACAAAUCAAUUUUCAUUGCAAAGUAAAGGAGCUGUUACAGUGGAGGAUUACUGGACUGAAUGUCAAUAUUAUGACAUAGUAUGAGUGUGUUUCAUAAGUGCAAUCAUUGUUGCUUUUGUUGUGGUCAUCCAUGUACAAUGCCUGGUGUCAGUUUAUUUAUCUAUUGUAAAAAUAAAAUACAGUGUGUGUGUGUGGAAAAAAAAAGAAAAAAGAAAAAUGUUCUGGAGGUGGGUGGUGGUGACGGUUGCAAAACAAUGUGAAUGUACUUAAUGCCACUGAACUGUACACUUAAACAUAGUGAAGAUGGUAAGUUUUACGUUAUGUAUAUUUUAUCACAAUUUUUAAAAAUAAAGAAUAAUACCUUUUUAAACUUAAAAAAAA